GCUUACGGCCAUACCUCUCUGGCUCCGCCUGAUCUCGUCUGAUCUCAGAAGCUAAGCAGAGUAGGGCCUGGUUAGUACUUGGAUGGAAGACCGCCUGGGAAUUCCAGGUGCCGUAAGCC
ensembl:rRNA 5S_rRNA 5S ribosomal RNA